GGGCUUGUGGUUUAGUGGUAUAAUACUCUCUUAGCACGUGAUGAAGCAUGUCACCGUCUGCACGACUGUUGGCUACCCUCGUCUGGUCUAAAAUGGGAGUGGUCCGGGGUUCGAUUCCCCGCGAGUCCA